rnacentral:other from 2 species
CAUGCUCUACUGUAUGCGCCAGCAAGACUAGUUUUUGAAUCGAUAAGCUCGCGUAACAUGUGGUUGGUGCGCUGAUGCUACUAUGCAAACUUAUGUUUAUGAUAAGCAGCAAAAGCAUUACCACUGACCAACACUUUGAUACCUGGGUUCAGAACGAAUCUUACAGCGAUAUUGUGGAGCUUUU